rnacentral:tRNA from 1 species
CAAGCUAAAGGGCGGAAUCGAUCAACUACCUUUUCCUUUUGUAAAAAAUUCCCAGAAAAAUGGUUGAAUGGGCA